AAUAAGCGGAGGAAAAGAAACUAACAAGGAUUCCCCUAGUAACUGCGAGUGAAGCGGGAAAAGCUCAAAUUUGAAAUCUGGCAGUAUUUGUUUUGCUGUCCGAGUUGUAAUCUAGAGAAGUGUUACCUGUGCUGGACCGUGUACAAGUCUCCUGGAAUGGGGCAUCAUAGAGGGUGAGAAUCCCGUCUUUGACACGGACUACCUGUACGCUGUGGUGCGCUCUCAAAGAGUCGAGUUGUUUGGGAAUGCAGCUCAAAACGGGUGGUAAAUGCCAUCUAAAGCUAAAUAUUGGCGAGAGACCGAUAGCGAACAAGUACCGUGAGGGAAAGAUGAAAAGAACUUUGGAAAGAGAGUUAAACAGUACGUGAAAUUGCUGAAAGGGAAACGCUUGAAGUCAGUCGCGUUGGCUAGAAAUCAGCCUUGCUUUUGCUUGGUGUACUUUCUGGAUUUUUUCAACGGGUCAGCAUCAAUUUCGACCAUUGGACAAAGUCUUUGGGAAUGUGGCAUCUUUUUGGAUGUGUUAUAGCCCAUUGUCGCAUGCAGUGGUUGGGAUUGAGGAACUCAGCACGCCUGCAAAGGCCGGGUUUCGACCACGCUUUCCGUGCUUAGGAUGCUGGCAUAAUGGCUUUAAUCGACCCGUCUUGAAACACGGACCAAGGAGUCUAACAUGCCUGCGAGUGUUUGGGUGGAAAACCCAUGCGCGAAAUGAAAGUGAAAGUUGAGAUCCCUCUCAGGGGGGAGCAUUGACGCCCGGACCAGACCUUCUGUGACGGAUCCGCGGUAGAGCAUGCAUGUUGGGACCCGAAAGAUGGUGAACUAUGCCUGAAUAGGGUGAAGCCAGAGGAAACUCUGGUGGAGGCUCGUAGCGAUUCUGACGUGCAAAUCGAUCGUCAAAUUUGGGUAUAGGGGCGAAAGACUAAUCGAACCAUCUAGUAGCUGGUUCCUGCCGAA
rnacentral:rRNA from 1 species